ACAGACUUGCGCGUAGCGUGAGUAUAAAAUCUAGUCAUUCUUUAUAUAUAAAAUACAGCUUCCUCUCUUCUUAGACAUGCCACAUGAGAUUCCAUGUAAUCAAUUAGGUGCAGAAGAGCGCGACACGUGUCCACUUAAACUAAACGCUGAGUUUCAUUUAUUCUGGUGUCCAUUUCGUUUGGGCUUUAGUGCGUAUUCGGGCUUAAUGAAACCCAACCCGGAUAAAGAGUAGCUCCAAUUGUUAUGGAAGCGCGUCGUUUCUGAUUUAGGGAUCAACACGUUCUUCAUCUCCCCCAUUCGAGAGCUAAUCUCAACCUAAGGUUUCCAUGGCGUUGUUUCAUGUUCUUCCUAACAAUCCGAGAAGCUAUCAGUUACAGAUUCAUCCUCUUAAAUCCACCACCCACGAUCUACAUGUUCUUUCAUCUUCUUCCUAACAAUCCGAGAAGCUAUACAGAUUCAUCUUCUUAAAUCCACCAUCCACGAUCUACCUUGAAUGCGAUCUUCACGCAAGGCCGUGGAACCUCGACUAUAAAAAGACCAGACGAGUACGGUACAGUAGGAGGAGGAAAGCGGUAGCGACGGAGGAGAGGAGGAUCAAGGCAAUGAGGGACCAGCCGUGUCCGGUUUGAAUCCGGUUGUUUAUUGUAAUUUUCCCGUCCCUUAAAACUCAUGUUCAUCAUUAUUUUGAACACACAUGGUGAUCAGAUUCAUAUUUAUCAGAAUUAUUCUUUUUGUAUAUUUCCUCUUUGCAAUAUGAUUUGAAUCUGUUGUUUAUUAUUAUUUUCCUCAUUCCAGUGUUCAUUGUCUUCCCAUAUACAAGCGACUGGGUUCUAUGUUUUACUUAAAACUCUCGUGUUCACUUAAGACUUCAUUAUAUUCAGGUUCCUGGUCUCCACCUUUUGCUUCUAUAUAUCCAAUUGUCACCCUUUGGAAACCAAACCCUACAUUUACUGUUUGUCCCACUUAACACAAGCUUCUGACCGUGCAGCUCCAUAUGCCUUUCAAGUUCUUUCUUUUGUUUAAGGCAGACACCGCUGAAGGUGCAGAGAUGUAUAAGGUAAUCAAAGAGACUACUAAUCACCCAAGGGUGAAGUUCACAGAUUUUGAAUGUGGUCUGGUGGGUGCUCUGAAGAAUUGUGUUGUAUCAGCUGUAGCUUAGCUGCUUGGUGGAGCUUUUUUGGGUGUGAUAAAGCUGUGAGAUCUAGAAGAAACAAAGAGUUAGUUGAUAAUCAGUGAACAUCAAAAUAAAUAGUCAGUUUUAGAUUGUUGGAAGGGUAAGUGUUCUUUUAUGUUUAAUAAAGUGACCACCCGAAUCUAGAGAUCAAUGAACAUUGAUGAAUAUGAUUCUUGCAACUCUCUAUUCUGUUAUAGUUUCUCUUAUUUAUUGCUGCAAGUCCCAUGCUAUGCAUGAGUUUAGUACCAAAGCUCUUCAUUCAUGUAGAAGGUUAAAGUAUACAACAAUCUAUUCAGGUU